AAGGAUACAAACUCCUCCUGGGAGUCAUUUCAAUAUCACUGUACAUUCAUUUCAGUGUCGCGAUACAUUCAUUUCAAUAUCAUUGCACACUCUGCCAAUUCACCCCGUUAUGUCCUCCAAAAUAAUAAACAAUCCCCUACAUUCAAUAAUCAGUGCAAUAAUCUCUCAACUUCAGGGUAAUGCUCGAGUAUACCGAAACAGUUACCCAAAUCUUCCGUCCUAUCCGACCAAGCCCUUUGCUGGCUCGAAAAGUCCGUUGAACAAAGGGUUUUGGGGUCCAAUUCAACUGAUGUGGUAAAGUACACAUACGGCUUACAUUCAUGAACACUUACAGUAAUAUUUGGUUAAUUAUCAACCUUCAAACUCAACUAAGUCGAGUGCGAUAAAGUACACCCUCGACUUAGAAGGUG
rnacentral:lncRNA from 1 species